UGUUUUGGUCAAUCUAAUCAAACGGGUGAAUAGGUUCUUGGCAAGUUUGAGUUAUCAACCGAUCCCAGAAGCCUUUAUGUCUCAUGCAUCUUAGAAUU